UGGGCGCGCGCUGAGAGCGCGUUCGAAGCGAGUGUCCGCGCGGCGGCGCCGGAGACCGGGGCGGGAAUCGGUGGCGGCGCGGACCGGAGCUGCAGACUAUUACUGUGAUUGCCUCAUCUUUGACAAGCUAUGCAUAGUCAACUUUAAAGAACCCAUCCCCAUGGCAGCCACAGACCAGUUGCAUAAAAGGCUCCUGUAGAGAACAAUACCCCCAUUCUAAGAUUCUUAUUCAAGGCAGAUGUACAAAUAAUGCUGUUACAUUAGAAGAUGGAUUUUAUCUUUGGAGCAGCAUUGACCUUAACCCUGAUCAGCACAUCAUGGAACAAUCCAUUAAUGGUGAAUAGUUCAACGACAAAGACAUUACAAGUUUUCAAACUCUGGAAGAUAUCGACAUGGCCUGUCAACAUAAUCAAAGAACAAUCUCCUUAUCCCAGGAACCAAUUUGGUGAAUCUUUGUUGUACUCCCUCUAACAAAAGUAGAUCUUUCCUUGGAUAGGGAGAUCAUACCUCCACAAAAUAGUCCAAGAGCUGCCUCAUCGAAGUCCUAUAGAAUUGAAGUAAUAUGUCUUCACUCUUGUUCUCAA